rnacentral:tRNA from 1 species
AGGGGGCUAGUUUAAGAAAAACUCUUGAUUUCGGCUCAAGCACUUGUGGUUAGAGUCCACAGUCACCUA